GAGUCUUAGAAGAUCGAGAGCAGGGAGACUACUUUUACCUACUCUAGAUUUCUGGCGCAACCAAAUUCCUGUUUAUGAUGCGGUUAGUUAUUAAUCUGGCUUACUUCUAUUUUUUCACAUUUUAGAUUUUGAUAGUAUCUGCAUGGUUUCAGCAAAAGUUGCCCAUGUCAAAGUCAAACAGUUUGUCUGCUGCAAGAAGUCUGCAAUUUAAGGCUGCAGUUGAUCUGUGUUUUUAAGUCUAAAUUGGUGAAAAUUUCUUUUUGAGAACGACUUGUGGCAUUGGGAUAAAACAGAGGAACUAGAAAAGUAAGGGACUUGACUUUUCAAGGUGGAUAUGUGUUGAGAUUGACAUGAUGAAUGUGAUAAUAAUAUCGGUGGGAUGUGGGAAGUAUUAAUCCAUAUGCUUCUGGAUGCAUACCGUAGAUGACUGCUCGUUAUCUGGUCAAUUUGCAUGGUUGACAUCACUUCUUCAAAGUGACAAAUGAUUGAAUGAAACUGUGAUGAGUUAUAUGAAUCCUUUUACAAGUUUCAUCCAUAUAAGUUUGCAAAAUUCAUGAUGUUAGGUUGAGACGCGUUUCAGAUGGAGUAUAACUUCCUCCACAUGCAGUGGAGUCAUUCAUUUCAUACAUUCCAUAUUUGAUAUUCCUUAAGAGUAUUGUACUUUAAUUGUUUAUAUAAAUCUCUUGCUGCAAUAAUGUCGUUGCUUGUUUGCUGGGGGAUCCAUAUUUUAUUACUUGCGGACGCAACAUGCAUUUCCUUUUUGUAUGCUUCCCAUGUUAUUUUCAUUAAUUAUGCCACUCUCCUCAUACAUCUAGCAGUCGUCAUUUUAUGAAUUUAAGUAUCUGGACCUUGGUAUUAUUUGGCUUAGGAAGAUGACGAACUUUCCUUCAUUUCAGGACCGUAACAUCACUGGAAUCCAGGAAGAAUUAAAAAUUUCUGGAGGGUGCAAGUCUGAGCCUCAGAGCAGAAGCAAAAGAAAAGGCAAGUCAUAAUUUAGAAAAGGGAGAAGCUGGGAGGAUGAUAACAAGACAAUCAUAUUUUAUGUGCAAAGGACUGCUCAUAUCUGCCUUUUGCUUUUGCCUAUACAGGAAAAUGUGAUUGUGAAAAAUCUGAUCCCAGUGCACUUUGUUCUCUCAAAUAGUUUCAGAUUGCAGCUUUGCCUGCCUAAUUGUGUAAUUAUCCCUGUAAUUACGUGCUGAGUAAUUAGUCUUUUAUAGGAUAAAUUUCAAUAAUUAUUCCUGAACUUAUAUAGUUGUAAC
rnacentral:misc_RNA from 1 species